rnacentral:rRNA from 1 species
AGGUACGGUUUAAUCACUAGUGUAUUCGCGGACGCUGCUCCUAGGGACUGUCAUUAUUUGGGAGGCCAGGAUCAAACUCUGCUAGUUGGUGAGGUAACGGCUCAGCGAGGCGACGAUCGGUAGCUGGUCUGAGAGGAUGAUCAGCCACACUGGUACUUAGACACGGACCAGACUCCUACGGGAGGCAGCAGUGGGGAAUAUUGCGCAAUGGGCGAAAGCCUGACGCAGCAACGCCGCGUGGGUGAAGAAGGCCUUCGGGUCGUAAAACCCUGUCAGAUGGGAAGAAACCUGCGCAAGCAGCUGACGGUACCAUCAGAGGAAGCACCGGCUAACUCCGUGGCAGGAGGCGGGGGUAAUACAGAGGGUGCAAGCGUUGUUCGGAAUUACUGGGCGUAAAGGGCGCGUAGGCGGUCGACCAAGUCUGAUGUGAAAGCCCGGGGCUCAACCCCGGAAGUGCAUUGGAAACUGGUCGACUUGAGUUCGGGAGAGGAGGGCAGAAUCCGGUGUAGGGGUGAAAUCCGUAGAUAUCGGGGAGGAAAACCAGUGGCGAAAGGGCGGCCCCUUCUGAAACGUUAUUGACGCUGAGGCACGAAAGCGUGGGGAUCAAACAGGAUUAGAUACCCUGGUAGUCCACGCCGUAAACGAUGAUCACUCGCUGUUUGCGAUAUACAGUAAGCGGCUAAGCGAAAGCGUUAAGUGAUCCACCUGGGGAGUACGAUCGCAAGGUUGAAACUCAAAGGAAUUGACGGGGGCCCGCACAAGCGGAGGAACAUGUGGUUUAAUUCGAUGAUACGCGAGGAACCUUACCUGGGCUUAAAUGGGGAGUGACAGCUGCUGAAAGGUGGUUUUCUUCGGACACUCUCCAAGGUGCUGCAUGGUUGUCGUCAGCUCGUGCCGUGAGGUGUCGGGUUAAGUCCCAUAACGAGCGCAACCCUUACUGUUAGUUGCCAGCGCGUCAAGGCGGGGACUCUAGCGGGACUGCCACCGUAAGGUGAGAGGAAGGUGGGGAUGACGUCAAAUCAGCACGGCCCUUAUGUCCAGGGCUACACACGUGUUACAAUGGCCGGUACAAAGGGCAGCUACACUGCGAAGUGAUGCUAAUCUCUAAAGCCGGUCCCAGUUCGGAUCGAAGUCUGCAACCCGACUUCGUGAAGUUGGAUUCGCUAGUAAUCGCGCAUCAGCCAUGGCGCGGUGAAUACGUUCCCGGGCCUUGUACACACCGCCCGUCAAGCCAUGGGAGCUGGGGGUACCUGAAGUCUGCAACCGCAAGGAGCGGCCUAAGGUAAAACUGGUGACUGGGGCUAAGUCGUAACAAGGUAACC